GAUGAACGCUGGCGGCGUGCCUAAUACAUGCAAGUCGAGCGAACGGACGAGAAGCUUGCUUCUCUGAUGUUAGCGGCGGACGGGUGAGUAACACGUGGAUAACCUACCUAUAAGACUGGGAUAACUUCGGGAAACCGUAGCUAAUACCGGAUAAUAUUUUGAACCGCAUGGUUCAAAAGUGAAAGACGGUCUUGCUGUCACUUAUAGAUGGAUCCGCGCUGCAUUAGCUAGUUGGUAAGGUAACGGCUUACCAAGGCAACGAUGCAUAGCCGACCUGAGAGGGUGAUCGGCCCCACUGGAACUGAGACACGGUCCAGACUCCUACGGGAGGCAGCAGUAGGGAAUCUUCCGCAAUGGGCGAACGCCUGACGUAGCAACGCCGCGUGAGUGAUGAAGGUCUUCGGAUCGUAAAACUCUGUUAUUAGGGAAGAACAUAUGUGUAAGUAACUGUGCACAUCUUGACGUUACCUAAUCAGAAAGCCACGGCUAACUACGUG
rnacentral:rRNA from 1 species